GACGAACGCUGGCGGCGUGCUUAACACAUGCAAGUCGAACGGAAAGGCCCUGCUUUUGUGGGGUGCUCGAGUGGCGAACGGGUGAGUAACACGUGAGUAACCUGCCCUUGACUUUGGGAUAACUUCAGGAAACUGGGGCUAAUACCGGAUAGGAGCUCCUGCUGCAUGGUGGGGGUUGGAAAGUUUCGGCGGUUGGGGAUGGACUCGCGGCUUAUCAGCUUGUUGGUGGGGUAGUGGCUUACCAAGGCUUUGACGGGUAGCCGGCCUGAGAGGGUGACCGGCCACAUUGGGACUGAGAUACGGCCCAGACUCCUACGGGAGGCAGCAGUGGGGAAUAUUGCACAAUGGGCGGAAGCCUGAUGCAGCAACGCCGCGUGCGGGAUGACGGCCUUCGGGUUGUAAACCGCUUUCGCCUGUGACGAAGCGUGAGUGAAGGUAAUGGGUAAAGAAGCACCGGCUAACUACGUGCCAGCAGCCGCGGUGAUACGUAGGGUGCGAGCGUUGUCCGGAUUUAUUGGGCGUAAAGGGCUCGUAGGUGGUUGAUCGCGUCGGAAGUGUAAUCUUGGGGCUUAACCCUGAGCGUGCUUUCGAUACGGGUUGACUUGAGGAAGGUAGGGGAGAAUGGAAUUCCUGGUGGAGCGGUGGAAUGCGCAGAUAUCAGGAGGAACACCAGUGGCGAAGGCGGUUCUCUGGGCCUUUCCUGACGCUGAGGAGCGAAAGCGUGGGGAGCGAACAGGCUUAGAUACCCUGGUAGUCCACGCUGUAAACGGUGGGUACUAGGUGUGGGGUCCAUUCCACGGGUUCCGUGCCGUAGCUAACGCUUUAAGUACCCCGCCUGGGGAGUACGGCCGCAAGGCUAAAACUCAAAGGAAUUGACGGGGCCCCGCACAAGCGGCGGAGCAUGCGGAUUAAUUCGAUGCAACGCGUAGAACCUUACCUGGGUUUGACAUGGAUCGGGAGUGCUCAGAGAUGGGUGUGCCUCUUUUGGGGUCGGUUCACAGGUGGUGCAUGGCUGUCGUCAGCUCGUGUCGUGAGAUGUUGGGUUAAGUCCCGCAACGAGCGCAACCCUUGUUCACUGUUGCCAGCACGUUAUGGUGGGGACUCAGUGGAGACCGCCGGGGUCAACUCGGAGGAAGGUGGGGAUGACGUCAAGUCAUCAUGCCCCUUAUGUCCAGGGCUUCACGCAUGCUACAAUGGCUGGUACAGAGAGUGGCGAGCCUGUGAGGGUGAGCGAAUCUCGGAAAGCCGGUCUCAGUUCGGAUUGGGGUCUGCAACUCGACCUCAUGAAGUCGGAGUCGCUAGUAAUCGCAGAUCAGCAACGCUGCGGUGAAUACGUUCCCCGGGCU
rnacentral:rRNA from 1 species